rnacentral:rRNA from 1 species
UACGGAAGGUCCGGGCGUUAUCCGGAUUUAUUGGGUUUAAAGGGAGCGUAGGCCGCCCCUUAAGCGUGUUGUGAAAUGCGGGUGCUCAACAUCCGACUUGCAGCGCGAACUGGGGGGCUUGAGUGCGCCGAAAGUAGGCGGAAUUCGUGGUGUAGCGGUGAAAUGCUUAGAUAUCACGAGGAACUCCGAUUGCGAAGGCAGCCUACUGUAGCGCUACUGACGCUGAUGCUCGAAAGCGUGGGUAUCGAACAGG